CAAAUAAGGGCGGACUGUGCUGACCAUUACACCACGAAGACAUGUUAAGAAGGCAGGAGAAAUACCUUAUUCGCGCGCUACAUUGAAGGAAUCAGCGUGUGCUUUCUCUGUCCGACAAGACUACGUAACCCGUUGAACCUCCUUCGUGCUGGGGAUAGGGGCUUGUAAUUGUUCCCCUUGAACGAGGAAUUCCCAGUAAGCACGAGUCAUAAGCUCGUGUUGAUUACGUCCCUG
rnacentral:ncRNA from 1 species